rnacentral:rRNA from 1 species
CCUACGGGAGGCAGCAGUGAGGGAUAUUGCGCAAUGGGCGAAAGCCUGACGCAGCGACGCCGCGUGGGCGAGGAAGGCCUUCGGGUUGUAAAGCCCUUUUGGCAGGGAAGAGCAAGGACUGUACCUGCAGAACAAGUCACGGCUAACUACGUGCCAGCAGCCGCGGUAAUACGUAGGGGGCAAGCGUUGUUCGGAUUUACUGGGCGUAAAGAGCGCGUAGGCGGUUUGAUAAGUCAUGGGUGAAAGCCCUCAGCUCAACUGAGGUUACGCCCAUGAAACUGUCUGACUUGAGUUUAGGAGAGGAGAGCGGAAUUCCCAGUGUAGGAGUGAAAUCCGUAGAUAUUGGGAGGACCACCGGUGGCGAAGGCGGCUCUCUGGACCGAUACUGACGCUGAGACGCGAAAGCGUGGGGAGCAAACAGGAUUAGAUCCCCCUGUAUU